rnacentral:rRNA from 1 species
AAUGGCAGGUCAGCAUACUGCCGUGAAUACGUUCCCGGGCCCUUGUACACACCGCCCGUCACACCAUGAGAGUUGGGAAUACCCGAAGCCUGUGAGCUAACGUAAGAGGCAGCAGUCGAAGGUAGAAUCAAUGAUUGGGGUGAAGUCGUAACAAGGUAUC